rnacentral:rRNA from 1 species
CCUACGGGGGGCAGCAGUGAGGAAUAUUGAUCAAUGGACGAGAGUCUGAACCAGCCAAGUAGCGUGAAGGAUGACUGCCCUAUGGGUUGUAAACUUCUUUUAUAUGGGAAUAAAACGUUCCACGUGUGGGAUUUUGUAUGUACCAUAUGAAUAAGGAUCGGCUAACUCCGUGCCAGCAGCCGCGGUAAUACGGAGGAUCCGAGCGUUAUCCGGAUUUAUUGGGUUUAAAGGGAGCGUAGGUGGGUUGUUAAGUCAGUUGUGAAAGUUUGCGGCUCAACCGUAAAAUUGCAAUUGAAACUGGCAGUCUUGAGUACAGUAGAGGUGGGCGGAAUUCGUGGUGUAGCGGUGAAAUGCUUAGAUAUCACGAAGAACUCCGAUUGCGAAGGCAGUUCACUGGACUGCAACUGACAUUGAUGCUCGAAAGUGUGGGUAUCAAACAGGAUUAGAUACCCCAGUAGUC